rnacentral:misc_RNA from 2 species
UCACCCUUCAAGCCUCUUGGGCUUGGUGUUGGACGGUUGGUGGAGUAUCGUUACGGUCCCACCCCUCCCAAAGACAAUGACGGCGGCCUCGUUGGACCCCCGGUACACUGAGUUCUUCACGGGACACGUACUGGACAUAAGGGUACGCGGGGCCCGGUCUGACCUCCCUCUCAGGGAGAAUUUUUUACAA